rnacentral:rRNA from 1 species
GAUGAACGCUAGCUACAGGCUUAACACAUGCAAGUCGAGGGGCAGCAUGGUCUUAGCUUGCUAAGGCCGAUGGCGACCGGCGCACGGGUGAGUAACACGUAUCCAACCUGCCGUCUACUCUUGGACAGCCUUCUGAAAGGAAGAUUAAUACAACAUGGCAUCAUGAGUUCACAUGUUCACAUGAUUAAAGGUAUUCCGGUAGACGAUGGGGAUGCGUUCCAUUAGAUAGUAGGCGGGGUAACGGCCCGCCUAGUCUUCGAUGGAUAGGGGUUCUGAGAGGAACGGUCCCCCACAUUGGAACUGAGACACGGUACCAAACUCCUACGGGAGGCAGCAGUGAGGAAUAGUUGGUACAAGUGGGACGAGAGCCUAGAACCAGCCAAGUAGCGUAGAGGAUGACUGCCCUAGU